rnacentral:misc_RNA from 1 species
CAGAGUAUUUUUACUCUUGUCCUUUGUGAAUCUCUUCUGUUGCUUUGGCAGGGAGCGGCGAGGCCGUUAAUUGUCGUGGUUGUGAUGACCCUGUGCCCUGCCGAAGAAUUUUUUACACACGUUUUAGUGGUUGUCUCAGUCAUCCAAAACCCUAA